CCUACGGGUGGCUGCAGUGGGGAAUAUUGCACAAUGGGCGCAAGCCUGAUGCAGCCAUGCCGCGUGUGUGAAGAAGGCCUUCGGGUUGUAAAGCACUUUCAGCGGGGAGGAAGGCGUUAAGGUUAAUAACCUUGGCGAUUGACGUUACCCGCAGAAGAAGCACCGGCUAACUCCGUGCCAGCAGCCGCGGUAAUACGGAGGGUGCAAGCGUUAAUCGGAAUUACUGGGCGUAAAGCGCACGCAGGCGGUCUGUCAAGUCGGAUGUGAAGUCCCCGGGCUCAACCUGGGAACUGCAUUCGAAACGGGCAGGCUAGAGUCUUGUAGAGGGGGGUAGAAUUCCAGGUGUAGCGGUGAAAUGCGUAGAGAUCUGGAGGAAUACCGGUGGCGAAGGCGGCCCCCUGGACAAAGACUGACGCUCAGGUGCGAAAGCGUGGGGAGCAAACAGGAUUAAUACCCCGGUAGUC
rnacentral:rRNA from 1 species